AGAAUCAACGCUGGCGGCGUGCCUAACACAUGCAAGUCGCACGAGAAAGUGGAGCAAUCCGCGAGUAAAGUGGCGCACGGGUGAGUAACACGUGAAUAAUCUACCUCCGAGUGGGGAAUAACUGAGAGAAAUCUUAGCUAAUACCGCAUAACACUUACGAGUCAAAGCAGCAAUGCGCUUGGAGAGGAGUUCGCGGCCGAUUAGUUAGUUGGCGGGGUAAUGGCCCACCAAGACGAUGAUCGGUA
rnacentral:rRNA from 1 species